rnacentral:rRNA from 1 species
AAACCAGCACCUCAAGUGGUCAGGAGGAUUAUUGGGCCUAAAGCAUCCGUAGCCUGUUCUAUAAGUUUUCGGUUAAAUCCAUUAGCUCAACUAAUGGGCCGCCGAAAAUACUGUAGAACUAGGGAGUGGGAGAGGUAGACGGUAUUCGGUAGGAAGGGGUAAAAUCCUUUGAUCUAUUGAGGACCACCUGUGGUGAAGGCGGUCUACCAGAACACGUUCGACGGUGAGGGAUGAAAGCUGGGGGAGCAAACCGGAUUAGAAACCCUGGUAGUCC